UUGUGGUCGUAAAGUGAAAGAUCAUUGGAGAAAGUUUUUUCUCGCUAUCAAUCGUCUAAGCAAUGUCGUCCUUUGCGGCGACUUUAACGCGCACCACUCCAUGUGGGACACCCUUGACUCCUGUGAUGAGGACACUGAGGGCAGGGCUAUUGCCGAUGCCUCGAUCAUGUCGGACUUGGUCUGUCUUGCUCGGGACUUUUACACCUGGUACUCUGCCGACAGAUCCAAAGCCAGUAUCAUUGAUCUGACUUUUAUUUCACCAGAUCUUGUUGACUGCACUUCCUGCUGCCCGAUCACCGACUUUCCUGGGUAGGACUAUACUCCUAUUAUUGUCAGCCUGUGUGGAGUUCACCCUCGGAGACCCACAUGCCGCCCUCGCAUCGUGCUGGGAAAGGUGGAUUGGAGAAGAUUUCGUCUUUCCAUGGAAGAGCACCCUGAAACCUCAUUCAAAGGCGUAAAUGAUGCGUACAGCAGCUUUGUUGACAGGCUACUCGCAUGCAUCGGAUCGUCCGGUGGCUAGAUUCGCAGACACAGUUAUCCUACCACACGUGCGCCCACUAUAUGGUGGAAUCAGGAAUGCUCCGAUCUAAUGAGGGAUAGGAGAGAAUGUUUUAAACAAUUUGUAAGCAGGCCGAACAUACACAAUCUUCAAAUGUACAACUCAUCGGUCAGGAACUCGCGAAAGCGCAUGAAGCAGAUCAAGUUGCAGAGUUUUAAAAAAUUCUACGCAAGUAUGAACCUACAAACCUGCAAUUCGCAGAUGUGGAAUACGCUCAGAGUCUUUACCGGCAAGGUGCGUUGUCCUCGCGAGGAAUCCGAGGAGGCUGUGGUAGCGGCCGGCGUCGCUUUCAAUAAGGCGGUACCGCCAACUGGCGGAGGAUCUGCGGCACAGCCCGAGACUCCGUUCCCGCAUGAGAGGUACGUCAUCCCUCUCUCCGUUCAGCCCGCUUCUCACCUUCCUCCUGAUUGCUCCUACCUCACCCGAGAUCUUUUAUCUGCGCAGGACCUUCUUCGACCUUUCUCCCAACACGAGUUAUUCCUUGCUAUUGGUUCCGUCAAGUUAACUGGGACGGCGGGACCGGAUCUCAUGUGUAACAAAAUCAUUGUAAACUUACCGGAUUCGGCAAAAAGGCAACUUCUUCAAAUAUUUAAUUGGAUGUACAAUGAAGGUAUAUAUCCGCCAACAUGGAAAGACUCUUUCAUGGUGUUUAUUCCCAAACCCAGCUUGACUGAUUACAGGCCUAUUUUGCUAACUAGCUGUAUAGCGAAAAUCCUUGAAAAAAUGAUAUACAAUAGAUUUGAGUGGUUUUUGGAAAACCCCAAAGUCAUUCCCAAUUAUCAGUAUGGUUUUAGAAAAAAAAGAACACGCUAUAUUGUACAACGACGCUGCAACGACGCUAUAUUGUACAAUGAGAUGCAAGAGGCUAUACACACGAGCCGGGACCUUGGAGCGGUGUUUAUUGACGUCAGGGGAACAUUUGACAAUGUCUUGUCUGACGUCCUGAUCUUCAUACUCAGACAGGCUGGUGUGCCCGGCAAAAUAAUCACCUUGAGCAUAUGAUCACCGGUAGAAGGGUCGUUGGAUAUGUUGGCGGCCGAAACCUGGGCUUGAGGGUGGCCUCCAGGGGCGUUCCUCAGGGAUCUAUUCUCAGCCCUCUGCUCUUCAAUUUUUACAUAUCUGGUAUUCAUGGAAACUUGGGUGAGAAUGUGCAAAUUUUGGCAUACGCCGACGAUGUCGUACUCUACUCCAAGAAUAUGGUAUUGCCUCACUUGUUCCGAUCUCUGUCCGCAGGAUUGGACGUCCUGUCUGACAAUCUCGCUCAUUUGGUUCUAACUAUCGCCGCCCACAAAACCAAGGGGUCAUAUUUGACGCCAAUCUUAAUUGGAGGGAGCAUUUUAUGCAGAACAGGAAAAGAAUACAGGCAAGAAACAACAUUCUCAAGGCCGUCGCCGGGGUCGUCUGGGGCGCUCAUCCUCGGAACCUGCUUGUGGCCUAUAAGGCCCUUGUUCGAUCGUUCCUCGAUUACGGAUCCAUUAUAUUUCAGGAUGUACGACGAUCAUAUACGCCUAUAUUUGACAAACUACAAUAUGCUGCCCUGAAAGUUGUCCUCGGUUUAAUGUCAUCCAUUCCCGGUAACGUGGUCC